rnacentral:rRNA from 1 species
UACGUAGGGACCGAGCGUUGUCCGGAUUCAUUGGGCGUAAAGAGCUCGUAGGCGGCCACUCAAGUCGAAUGUGAAACCUCGAGGCUUAACCUCGAGCCUGCAUUUGAUACUGGGCGGCUAGAGUCUGGUAGGGGGAUCUGGAAUUCCUGGUGUAGCGGUGGAAUGCGCAGAUAUCAGGAGGAACACCGGUGGCGAAGGCGGGAUCCUGGGCCAGUACUGACGCUGAGGCGCGAAAGCGUGGGGAGCAAACAGG